CCCUUAUUCAGAGUGAUGGAGGUACAAAGGACCUGUGAAGUCACGGCAACCCCGGUUGAGUAUGUCAGAGUUUGUCUGAUGGCAUGCAAAAGGGCCGGAAGGUGCCAGCCUGAGCGAGGAGCGUGCGCAUUGCGCAAGCUUAAUCGAGCAAUAAGAG
rnacentral:ncRNA from 2 species